GCAUCUGAGAAUGAAUGGGACAAACCACAGGAUGUGAAGAGGUGGCAGAGGAAGACCAGUAAGAAAACAGCUACUGGAAAAGGUUGUACAGAUGCAGGAAAAAAUGCAGAAGAGACCAAGACACCAUCACAACCUAUGGAAAUGCCCAACAAGCAACAUUACAACAAUCUUAUUUGAUUUUUAUGGGGUACAUCCUCUAUAAACUCUGAAUCAGUUGUGGAUACUGCCCAUGAGCUCAGAAGCUUUUCCUUGGGAAAACAUGAAUCUGUGAUGUUUAUUGAUACCUGUGGCCUGAUGAAGGUUCAUCCAAGGCUAAAGGACUUCCACAGCAUUCCCAGUAUCGGCCAUUACCUCACCACCAUGUGACACCAAACUUGGUAGAUGAGAAACAAGUCCAAGAAAAAAAAAUCCUCCCAAGAUCUACCCCAAAACAAACACCUCCUUGUUUCAAAAGUAGGACCUAUGUGGUGCCAUAUCCCACCACUGAGAGAAGGAUACAGGCAUCCCUACCAGCUGGAAGCCUGCCUGGGAAACAUGGACCAUAUUAAAAGAAACCAAAGGUUAUGAUGAGCAAAAGCAUAAAAAAGCUAUUAGCAAGCCCACUGACAACUUGCCCAGGGGCACCCUGCAUUGUAAAGCUAUCAGUCCAGCCACCAUCCAUCCUGAGCAUUGCAGGAGGCUCCAGCUCCAUAAGGACCCAGAGAAUAAUGAAAAGACAACUAGAGUCAGAGAACAACAAGGAACCCCAUUCAGAUUCCUCCCCUACAGGAAACCGACCCAGGUACAGGAACAUUUGCCAGCAAACACUGUUCAUUAUUGCAAGAACAGGCCUCAACUCUCCCAGCCUGCGCAGCCCUCCAUCUUCAACACCAAACCCUACAAAUGUAGUAAAUGGAAGGGGUUUGUGCCCACAGGGCUGCCCUUAAAGAAGGACAUAGCAAAGUCUGAUGUGCAUAACACCAUCAAGAAGGACCUUGGUGUUGGGGCACAAAAGGUGCCUGGCACUGCAAGCAGCAGCCCUGGGAAGGAGGUGAGACCCAGGAAACCUGCACUGAGGACAGACAAGGUGUCUUCCAUGAAACCUACUGAGCACUAUUCCCUGCCUGAGGCAAAGAGAGCAUCAAAUUUCACAGAGCUUCCAGUGGUAGCUCCAUAAAGCUCAAGGAUAUAGCCAAGUCUAGGAUAGCAGAAAAAGAAGAGGCUACUUCUAAAAACUCUUGCAAGAAUACCUUAAGCAAUGAUUUACCAGAAAGAAACCUCAGCAAAAAAUACAGUUGUCAAGGGGAUUCUUUAAUGAUUGAUCAACCAACACCAGCUGCUGAGCAGACAAAAGUCUUAACCAUUAAAAUGGUCAUCUACAGAAUGAUAGCUG
rnacentral:lncRNA from 1 species